CGGAGUGAGCCAGACAUACGCAAGCUGCAAGUACUGGACACUAAGCCUUGCACAUA
rfam:Panicum distortion mosaic virus Tiseong genomic RNA, complete genome